UGUCAUGUUGGACAGGCAUUCUGUAUCUCUUGAAAGAGCAUGGAUUUAUCCAUACUAGACAACAUGAAUGAAAUGAGACGUUCUCAGGGCUGCCAACCUUUCAGUUAAGGUUUUGUGGCAGUAUACUUCUUCUACAAUA
ensembl:snoRNA